GAUUGACGAAUCUUGGCACUUGGAGAAUUCACAGUUGUUACUUAAUAAAAUUCUGUGGAUCUUUUGGUGCCAUUAUUUGUUAAUU
rnacentral:pre_miRNA from 1 species